rnacentral:rRNA from 1 species
AGUGAACGCUGGCGGCAGGCCUAACACGUGCAAGUCGAACGGCAGCACAAGGGAGCUUGCUCCCUGGGUGGCGAGUGGCGGACGGGUGAGGAAUACGUCGGAAUCUGCCUAUUUGUGGGGGAUAACCUCGGGAAACCGGGAUUAAUACCGCAUACGACCUACGGGUGAAAGCAGGGGAUCUUCGGACCUUGCGCAGAUAGAUGAGCCGACGUCGGAUUAGCUAGUUGGCGGGGUAAAGGCCCACCAAGGCGACGAUCCGUAGCUGGUCUGAGAGGAUGAUCAGCCACACUGGAACUGAGACACGGUCCAGACUCCUACGGGAGGCAGCAGUGGGGAAUAUUGGACAAUGGGCGCAAGCCUGAUCCAGCCAUGCCGCGUGAGUGAAGAAGGCCCUCGGGUUGUAAAGCUCUUUUGUUGGGAAAGAAAAGCAGCCGGUUAAUACCCGGUUGUCAUGACGGUACCCAAAGAAUAAGCACCGGCUAACUUCGUGCCAGCCGCCGCCGUAAUAC